rnacentral:rRNA from 1 species
AUUGAACGCUGGCGGCAGGCCUAACACAUGCAAGUCGAACGGUAACAGGAAGCAGCUUGCUGCUUCGCUGACGAGUGGCGGACGGGUGAGUAAUGUCUGGGAAACUGCCUGAUGGAGGGGGAUAACUACUGGAAACGGUAGCUAAUACCGCAUAACGUCGCAAGACCAAAGAGGGGGACCUUAGGGCCUCUUGCCAUCGGAUGUGCCCAGAUGGGAUUAGCUAGUAGGUGGGGUAACGGCUCACCUAGGCGACGAUCCCUAGCUGGUCUGAGAGGAUGACCAGCCACACUGGAACUGAGACACGGUCCAGACUCCUACGGGGGGCAGCAGUGGGGAAUAUUGCACAAUGGGCGCAAGCCUGAUGCAGCCAUGCCGCGUGUAUGAAGAAGGCCUUCGGGUUGUAAAGUACUUUCAGCGGGGAGGAAGGGAGUAAAGUUAAUACCUUUGCUAAUUGACGUUACCCGCAGAAGAAGCGCCGGCUAACUCCGUG